UGGGGAAUAUUGGACAAUGGGCGAAAGCCUGAUCCAGCCAUGCCGCGUGUGUGAAGAAGGUCUUCGGAUUGUAAAGCACUUUAAGUUGGGAGGAAGGGCAUUAACCUAAUACGUUAGUGUUUUGACGUUACCGACAGAAUAAGCACCGGCUAACUCUGUGCCAGCAGCCGCGGUAAUACAGAGGGUGCAAGCGUUAAUCGGAAUUACUGGGCGUAAAGCGCGCGUAGGUGGUUUGUUAAGUUGGAUGUGAAAUCCCCGGGCUCAACCUGGGAACUGCAUUCAAAACUGACUGACUAGAGUAUGGUAGAGGGUGGUGGAAUUUCCUGUGUAGCGGAGAAAUGCGUAGAUAUGGGAAGGAACACCAGUGGCGAAGGCGACCACCUGGACUAAUACUGACACUGAGGUGCGAAAGCGUGGGGAGCAAACA
rnacentral:rRNA from 1 species